GAUGAACGCUGGCGGCGUGCCUAAUACAUGCAAGUCGAGCGAACGGACGAGAAGCUUGCUUCUCUGAUGUUAGCGGCGGACGGGUGAGUAACACGUGGAUAACCUACCUAUAAGACUGGGAUAACUUCGGGAAACCGGAGCUAAUACCGGAUAAUAUUUUGAACCGCAUGGUUCAAAAGUGAAAGACGGUCUUGCUGUCACUUAUAGAUGGAUCCGCGCUGCAUUAGCUAGUUGGUAAGGUAACGGCUUACCAAGGCAACGAUGCAUAGCCGACCUGAGAGGGUGAUCGGCCACACUGGAACUGAGACACGGUCCAGACUCCUACGGGAGGCAGCAGUAGGGAAUCUUCCGCAAUGGGCGAAAGCCUGACGGAGCAACGCCGCGUGAGUGAUGAAGGUCUUCGGAUCGUAAAACUCUGUUAUUAGGGAAGAACAUAUGUGUAAGUAACUGUGCACAUCUUGACGGUACCUAAUCAGAAAGCCACGGCUAACUACGUGCCAGCAGCCGCGGUAAUACGUAGGUGGCAAGCGUUAUCCGGAAUUAUUGGGCGUAAAGCGCGCGUAGGCGGUUUUUUAAGUCUGAUGUGAAAGCCCACGGCUCAACCGUGGAGGGUCAUUGGAAACUGGAAAACUUGAGUGCAGAAGAGGAAAGUGGAAUUCCAUGUGUAGCGGUGAAAUGCGCAGAGAUAUGGAGGAACACCAGUGGCGAAGGCGACUUUCUGGUCUGUAACUGACGCUGAUGUGCGAAAGCGUGGGGAUCAAACAGGAUUAGAUACCCUGGUAGUCCACGCCGUAGACGAUGAGUGCUAAGUGUUAGGGGGUUUCCGCCCCUUAGUGCUGCAGCUAACGCAUUAAGCACUCCGCCUGGGGAGUACGACCGCAAGGUUGAAACUCAAAGGAAUUGACGGGGACCCGCACAAGCGGUGGAGCAUGUGGUUUAAUUCGAAGCAACGCGAAGAACCUUACCAAAUCUUGACAUCCUUUGACAACUCUAGAGAUAGAGCUUUCCCCUUCGGGGGACAAAGUGACAGGUGGUGCAUGGUUGUCGUCAGCUCGUGUCGUGAGAUGUUGGGUUAAGUCCCGCAACGAGCGCAACCCUUAAGCUUAGUUGCCAUCAUUAAGUUGGGCACUCUAAGUUGACUGCCGGUGACAAACCGGAGGAAGGUGGGGAUGACGUCAAAUCAUCAUGCCCCUUAUGAUUUGGGCUACACACGUGCUACAAUGGACAAUACAAAGGGCAGCGAAACCGCGAGGUCAAGCAAAUCCCAUAAAGUUGUUCUCAGUUCGGAUUGUAGUCUGCAACUCGACUACAUGAAGCUGGAAUCGCUAGUAAUCGUAGAUCAGCAUGCUACGGUGAAUACGUUCCCGGGUCU
rnacentral:rRNA from 1 species